UACGGAGGAUGCAAGCGUUAUCCGGAAUGAUUGGGCGUAAAGCGUCCGCAGGUGGCUAUGUAAGUCUGCUGUUAAAGAGUGAGGCUCAACCUCAUAAAAGCAGUGGAAACUACAUGGCUAGAGUGCGUUCGGGGCAGAGGGAAUUCCUGGUGUAGCGGUGAAAUGCGUAGAGAUCAGGAAGAACACCGGUGGCGAAAGCGCUCUGCUAGGCCGCAACUGACACUGAGACGCGAAAGCGUGGGGAGCAAACAGG
rnacentral:rRNA from 1 species